UAAAACAGGAGGACAGAAUUAUGGAUUAGUUUCUUCUAAAAGCAGUUGAUGCCUUUGGGAAAAUUUUCAUGACAGGAACAUGCACUUAGUUAAAGUCCAGGACAACCAUGGCAGAAUCGCAUGAGUCACCUGAUGCAUUUGUGGAUGCUUCAGCUAACGCAGUAUUUGUAAUAAUGUAAUAUCUGAUUCACCUGUCAGGCUAAGAGAGUCUUCCCAGAAAGUACAUCUCAAGUGAGGAAACCAUGUCUAUGCUCUUCCUACAGACAAAUACACUUCAGGAUCCUAUAAUGCACCAACUCCAAGGAAGAGAAAUCCACAGGCACAAACAUUCUCCAAGACUAAAACAACCAUUCAGCACCAAAAAGACAUGGAAGUGAACCACAAACGAGAAGGGUAUGAAGACAGGAGGAAGAUGAAGAAAGUACCUGAAUUCACAAGAACAACCUAAAUUGCAGAAAGAUAGGGGAAUUCUCAAGAGGAGAAACCAAACACGAUAAGAAUGCAAAUUCCAAAAAUAACACGUAGGAAGUACACUGUAACACUUCAAAAGUGAUUAAAUUUUAAUCCUUCAUCAUG